CAGCCGCCGCGGUAAUACGGAGGGGGCUAGCGUUGUUCGGAAUUACUGGGCGUAAAGCGCACGUAGGCUGCUUUGUAAGUUAGAGGUGAAAGCCUGGUGCUCAACACCAGAACUGCCUUUAAGACUGCAGAGCUAGAACGUCGGAGAGGUGAGUGGAAUUCCGAGUGUAGAGGUGAAAUUCGUAGAUAUUCGGAAGAACACCAGUGGCGAAGGCGGCUCACUGGACGACUGUUGACGCUGAGGUGCGAAAGCGUGGGGAGCAAACAGGAUUAGAUACCCCGGUAGUCCCUGUCUCUUAUAC
rnacentral:rRNA from 1 species